ACGGCAAGUUGUAUCCUUCUGCACGUAAAACUGCGCAGUGGUAGUGUAAUGAAGCUGGCGGGAGAUUAGUUAGUCUAAAGUGUGGCAGAAUGGUUGUUUCGAAGUUUUAUUUAUUAUUUAUUUAUUAAAAAUAAAAUUCAGCAAUCCUAUUAUAUUGGUUCCGAAUUGAAAUGUUUUGUGAUCUGUAAGGAUUAGGAAGAAACAGGCUUGUUUUGAGUUCCUGCAGAGAUGACAUAUCCAGCGACAUGAUCAUCUUUCGUUGCACGUUGCAGUUUAUAGCAUGGGGUAUUGGGAGGUCGGUUCUCAGCCUUCGCGGUAAACACUGGCCAUUCUGUCAGACACGAUCGCGACGAAGCGGCAGCGCGUUGCAAAAAUACAGGGACCAAGAGCGUUAUUUCAAGAGGAAAGUAAGGGAUGCGUACCAGAGGUUUUCAGAAGUUCCCGAUAACACUGUGAUUCAGGGACGACAUCAUGUAUACUUUGAAGAAGGAGGAAACAUUUACAGAAUGGGAAUUGGACAGGGUAACCAGGAUGUGCAGGACAUUCUGGACACCUCCAGCGGGGGGAGCCUGCAGCGAGUUCGCCUUUCCCCUGGGGAGCAUGCCCUGGCUGCCACCGUGAAGGACUGCGGGAGCGAGGAAGCCAAAUGCCUCGUCUUAAGGCUGGGAGACCCUCCUGACCCCCCCCGACUGUUGCUCCAGCUCGAUGGUGUCUUCAGCUUCGAGUGGGCCUCUGAUGACGUCCUGUUCUUCACCAGCAUGGAGAACCUCAGAAGUUGCCGGGUCUUCCGCCUAGACUUUGGGAAACCAGAGCCGCAGGCCGUCCUGGUGUAUGAGGAACGAGACCCUGAAUUCUUUGUGGAGGUGAGCUGCACCAGAGACCGGAAUUUGGUCACGUUGAACUGCAACAAUAAAAGUACUUCGGAGGUGUGGCUUGUUGAGGCUGAUGCGCCCCUGGCAUGUCCCAGGCUCAGCCAGCCAAGGGUCUCCGGCCUGAUCUAUCACGUGGAGCACUCAGGCAAGCAGCUAUACAUCCUCGCUAACACUGCACCAGGCCAGGAGUACCAGGUGCUGAGUGCUCCCUUGGCCUCACCGGGCAUGGAGAAUUGGGUGCCUGUGUUCACUCCUGAUGUUGGGACAGGUCUGAAGGACAUGGAGGUGGUCCAGGACCACUGCGUUUUGGCUGUCCGCACCCCUGCUGGCCCACUUGGGCUGCAGGUGGUCCCAUUGGCCGACCCAUCCCAGGUCUACACUGUGCAGCUCCCCCUAUGGGCAUGUGAGUUUGAGUCCCGCCCCUGCCUGGGAUUGGACAGCCCCGCGUUCCAGUUCAGCCUCUCUUCCCCGGUGCAGCCGCCCCUCCAGUUCUCAUACUGCCUGAGGGAGCGGCAGCUAUUUGUGGAGGAGACCGCCGCUGGGCCCCCCCUCCUGGAGCACCAUACUGCUCGGCUGGAGGCCCGCAGCCAGGAUGGCACGCUGGUCCCAAUGACAGUUUUCCACAGAGCUCCCUGGGGAAACCUGAAGGGGGCGCCACUGCUGCUGCAUGUAUAUGGGGCUUAUGGCCUACACCUCAACAUGGCUUUCAGCCCAGAGAAACAGCUGCUGCUAGAGGACGGCUGGGUCCUGGCCUACUGUCACGUUCGAGGUGGAGGGGAGCGUGGCCUAGGCUGGCAUCAGGCAGGCAGUUUCCUGCAGAAAUACAAGGGCCUAGAGGACCUGGCCUCCUGCAUCCACCACCUCUAUCAGCUGGGUGUUUCCCAACCUGCGCUGGCCAACCUUUCCACCCGCAGUGCCGGAGCCGUCCUAGCGGGGGCGCUGUGCAACCAGUAUCCUGAGCUGCUGCGGACAAUUAGCCUGCAGGCGCCCUUUCUGGACGUCCUGGGCACCAUGCAGGACCCCAGCCUUCCCCUGACCAUCGAGGACAGAGGAGAGUGGGGCGACCCCCUGGCCGACACCCACCAGCGUGACACUGUGGCCUCCUACUGCCCAUGUCACAACAUCAAGCCCCAGCGAUACCCAUCCAUGCUGAUCACAGCUUAUGAGGGGGACAGGAGGGUGCCCUUGGCGGGGGUGCUGAGGUAUGCAGAGAGGCUGGUGGCAGCGGCGCACGCGGACGUCGGGGGAGCCAUCACAGCAGGUAAAGCGUAGACCCCACGCGUGUGUCUUUGAGCAGGCGUAUGGGAGGUCAGAGCCAGCGCUGACAAACCGUUGAGAUCAGCCGGUCUGCUCAGCACAUUCGGCGUAAGCUCACGGGGUAUGGCUUAGCCUCAGUCCUCUGAACGUGGUGCAUCCCUCUGUCAGCAAAUCAUAGCUAAUUCCCCAUCGGUGAGAGUUUCUCCCCUCCAUAAAAAGUGUCAGUCUAAUCUCACGCUGCUAGAUAACACCACCCUGAUCCUCCACCUCCUCCACAGACACCGGGGGCCAUUUAGACGCUAUCAGGAGGAAAGAUAAGGAAGGAUGCAGCUCGUUCUGUCAAGGUCGAUGAGGCUUGCAAAACGCAGCAGGAGUUAAACUUUGACUAGAUUCCAGGCUUGAGAAGGACGACUUGGGUGUUUUCUCACAGAUAAACAGUUUUCAGACUGGCCGUGACUUAUGGAUGAGCGAGUCUAUUCAGACAGCAUUAAAGGAAAGUGUUGGACACGGCACAGGUUAAGGCAGGGGAACAGCUAACAGGCAGAUGGCUGAUUAUGGCAUAGGGAUGGUCCGGCUCUUGUACCUUUGAGUACAUCUUCAGCACUUCCUCACUAGUGAAGUACUACGCGUUUAAAUGGGUAGUGUUACACUGCUGGUCUAAAUAGAAAAUAAUAAAUAAAAAUAAUACAAGCCCGGGCGGUUCCAUUUUGGUUCUAGGAUCAAAAACUCCGCCAUCUGUCAUUCUGGACCUGCAGCCCGGAGGAGAUCAUUUCGGGCCAGACAACUUGGAGGCGUCCCUCAAUGAGACUGCCAGGCAGCUCGCAUUCCUCUACGGUGAGUUAGGCUUGGGCCAUGGCAGAUACAAGGACUAACAGCAGCCAGAGGUGUGUUUGCGUGUGUGUUUGUGUGGGUGUUGCUCCUCACACAGACCAUUUUGCAGCACUUUUUAAUCUAACCUGAGAUCGAGCGAUACAUGAAUAAUAAUUAAAAAAUAAAAACCGAAAUGUAUACUGAA